rnacentral:lncRNA from 1 species
UUUUGAUCACUUGGUAAAUGAUGUCAAAAAAUUAUAAAAUUUGGUUUCUAAAUAGUUCCAACAUAGUAGAUUAUAUUUAACGGAGCCGAUCGUCGAAUCGGAUUUCCUAUCAUCGAAAACAACUUACAAGCACGGAGUUCUCCGUACUUUCGAAAAUACAGUAGACUUACUCUAUAUAUAUAUAUAUAUAUAUAUAUAUAGAAUUGAGCUAAAAUACUUUUAGAAGCACCAACCCCUUGGUGCUUCUAAGUUUGUAGCCCUUGGAUCUACUCCUUGAUUACUAAUAACCUUUAGAUCAAAUACUAUUCUACCUACCACCACCUACCACCAUCAUCUCAACCUCACAUCUCUCCAUCUAAUGGCUAAAAACUCAAAAGCACCACCCCCUUGGUGCUACCAUGCUAU